rnacentral:tRNA from 1 species
AGGAUUUUAAGUUAAACUAAACUCUAAGCCUUCAAAGCUUAAAAUGUAAAAGUCAAGUCUUG